GGCGAUGUGGCUUAGUGGUAGAGUGCUUGCCUAACAUGCAUGAAGCCCUGGGUUCAAUUCCUCAGUGCCA
rnacentral:tRNA from 1 species